AACAGGAUUAGAUACCCUGGUAGUCCGCACCGUAAACGAUGGAUACUAGGCGUUCGGAGAGUUAACCCUCUGAGUGCCAAAGUUCACACAUUAAGUAUCCCGCCUGGGAAGUACGGUCGCAAGACUAAAACUCAAAGGAAUUGACGGGGGCCCGCACAAGCGGUGGAGUAUGUGGUUUAAUUCGAAGCAACGCGCAGAACCUUACCUGGCCUUGACAUCGCGAGACCGGUGCAGAGAUGCAUCUUUCCCUUCGGGGACUCGUAGACAGGUGCUGCAUGGCUGUCGUCAGCUCGUGUUGUGAAAUGUUCGGUUAAGUCCGGCAACGAGCGCAACCCCUGUUCUCAGUUACCAGCAUUAAGUUGGGGACUCUGGGAAGACCGCCGGUGUUAAACCGGAGGAAGGCGGGGAUGACGUCAAGUCCUCAUGGCCCUUACGGCCAGGGCUACACACGUACUACAAUGGUAGAAACAGACGGCUGCAAGACCGCAAGGUGGAGCUAAUCCGUAAAACACUAUCUCAGUCCGGAUUGAAGUCUGCAACUCGACUUCAUGAAGUUGGAAUCGCUAGUAAUCGCAGAUCAGCACGCUGCGGUGAAUACGUUCCCGGGCCUUGUACACACCGCCCGUCACACCACGAAAGUGGUCUUAACCAGAAGUGAGUGAGCCAACCGCAAGGAGGCAGCUCACCAAGGUUGAGGCCGUGAUUGGGGUGAAGUCGUAACAAGGUAACC
rnacentral:rRNA from 1 species